CUAUGGGUUGCUGCAGUAACGAAUAUUGCGCAAUGGCCGAAAGGCUGACGCAGCGACGCCGCGUGUAGGACGAAGCCCCUCGGGGUGUAAACUACUGUCAUGGUGAAGAAAGAUCUGAUCGAUCCAGAAGGAAGGACCGGCUAAAUUCGUGCCAGCAGCCGCGGUAAUACGAAUGGUCCUAGCGUUGUUCGGAAUCACUGGGCUUAAAGCGCACGUAGGUGGACAAUUAAGUGUCUUGUGAAAUCCCACGGCUCAACCGUGGAACUGCAGGGCAUACUGGUUGUCUUGAGGCAAGUAGGGGUACAUGGAACUCUGGGUGGAGCGGUGAAAUGCGUAGAUAUCCAGAGGAACGCCAGCGGUGAAAACGGUGUACUGGGCUUGUUCUGACACUGAGGUGCGAAAGCGUGGGUAGCAAACAGGAUUAGAUAUCCGGGUAGUC
rnacentral:rRNA from 1 species